AAGAGACAGCAGUAGCCGCGGUAAGACAGAGGAUGCAAGCGUUAUCCGGAAUUAUUGGGCGUAAAGAGCUCGUAGGCGGUCUGUCGCGUCUGGUGUGAAAUCCCGAGGCUCAACCUCGGGCUUGCAUCGGGUACGGGCAGACUAGAGUGCGGUAGGGGAGACUGGAAUUCCUGGUGUAGCGGUGGAAUGCGCAGAUAUCAGGAGGAACACCGAUGGCGAAGGCAGGUCUCUGGGCCGCAACUGACGCUGAGGAGCGAAAGCAUGGGGAGCGAACAGGAUUAGAGACCCCAGUAGUCCCUGUCUCUUAUAC
rnacentral:rRNA from 1 species